CACGCCGUAAACGAUGUCAACUAGCCGUUGGGAGCCUUGAGCUCUUAGUGGCGCAGCUAACGCAUUAAGUUGACCGCCUGGGGAGUACGGCCGCAAGGUUAAAACUCAAAUGAAUUGACGGGGGCCCGCACAAGCGGUGGAGUAUGUGGUUUAAUUCGAUGCAACGCGAAGAACCUUACCUGGGUUUGACAUCCACGGAACCCUCUUGAAAGAGAGGGGUGCCCUUCGGGGAGCCGUGAGACAGGUGC
rnacentral:rRNA from 1 species